ACGUAGGGUGCGAGCGUUAAUCGGAAUUACUGGGCGUAAAGCGCGUGCAGGCGGUGCGAUAAGUCGUGCGUGAAAGCUCCCAGGCUUAACCGGGAGAGGACGUGCGAGACUGUCGGACUAGAGGCAGGUAGAGGCAAGUGGAAUUCCGGGUGUAGUGGUGGAAUGCGUAGAGAUCGGGAGGAACACCAGAGGCGCAAGCGGGUGCCUGGGCGACGACUGACACUGAGGGACGAAAGCGUGGGGAGCGAACAG
rnacentral:rRNA from 1 species